rnacentral:rRNA from 1 species
AAAAGGCCGAAUAUCUAAGGUUUCCAGGGUAAAGCUGAUCUUCCCUGGGUAAGUCGGGGCCUAAGGCGAGGGCGAGAGCCGUAGUCGGUGGAUAACAGGUUGAAAUUCCUGUACUGCUUAUGGACAGAACUGUGGGGACGCAGAAGGAGAGCACGAGCCGGAAAUGGAAAAGCCGGUACAAGCGUAUAGCAGUCAUGCAGGCAAAACCGCAUGAAGAAUGUAAAGCGUUAUGUGGAUCGAACAUUAGUAGAGAAGCGUGUGAGCCAGCUGCCAAGAAAAGCCGCUAUUGCUUCAUAAGUACCCGUACCGUAAACCGACACAGGUGGAUGAGGAGAGAAUCCUAAGGCCGGCGGGAGAAGUGUUGUUAAGGAACUCGGCAAAAUGACUCCGUAACUUCGGGAGAAGGAGUGCCACAGAGAUGUGGCCGCAGAGAAAUGGCCCAAGCAACUGUUUAGCAAAAACACAGGUCUAUGCAAAACCGAAAGGUGAGGUAUAUGGGCUGACGCCUGCCCGGUGCUGGAAGGUUAAGAGGAGAGGUUAGAGCAAUCGAAGCUUUGAAUUUAAGCCCCAGUAAACGGCGGCCGUAACUAUAACGGUCCUAAGGUAGCGAAAUUCCUUGUCGGGUAAGUUCCGACCCGCACGAAAGGCGUAAUGAUUUGGGCACUGUCUCAACAACACACCCGGUGAAAUUGAAAUACCAGUGAAGAUGCUGGUUACCUGCGCCAGGACGGAAAGACCCCAUGGAGCUUUACUCCAGUUUGAUACUGGGAUUCGGUACUGUCUGUACAGGAUAGGUGGGAGGCUAGGAAAUGGUGACGCCAGUUGCCAUGGAGCCAACCUUGGGAUACCACCCUUACAGUACUGGGUUUCUAACCUGCAGCCGUAACCCGGCUGGGGGACAAUGUCUGACGGGGAGUUUGACUGGGGCGGUCGCCUCCGAAAGAGUAUCGGAGGCGCUCAAAGGUUCCCUCAGAACGGUUGGAAACCGUUCGAAGAGUGCAAAGGCAGAAGGGAGCUUGACUGCGACACCGACGGGUGGAGCAGAUACGAAAGUAGGACUUAGUGAUCCGGUGGUAUAAAGUGGGAUUGCCAUCGCUCAACGGAUAAAAGCUACCCUGGGAUAACAGGCUUAUCACUCCCAAGAGUUCACAUCGACGGAGUGGUUUGGCACCUCGAUGUCGGCUCAUCGCAUCCUGGAGCUGUAGCAGGUUCCAAGGGUUGGGCUGUUCGCCCAUUAAAGCGGUACGCGAGCUGGGUUCAGGACGUCGUGAGACAGUUCGGUCCCUAUCCGGCGUGGGCGUAGGAUAUUUGAGAGGAGCUGUCCUUAGUACGAGAGGACCGGGAUGGACAAACCUCUGGUGUAUCUGUUGUCUUACCAAAGGCAUGGCAGAGUAGCCAAGUUUGGCAGGGAUAAACGCUGAAGGCAUCUAAGCGUGAAGCCCCCCUCAAGAUAAGAUAUCCCAUCUUCGGAGUAAGACCCCUUGAAGACUACAAGGUUGAUAGGCUUUGUGUGUAAGUGCGGUAACGCACUCAGCUGAGAAGUACUAAUAGGUCGAGGACUUAUC